rnacentral:rRNA from 1 species
GAGUUUGAUCCUGGCUCAGGAUGAACGCUGGCGGUGUGCCUUAGCAUGCAGUCGAGCGGGAUAGCAAUAUCCAGCGGCAGACGGGUGAGUAACGCGUGGGAAUCUACCUAAAAGUGGGGAAUAGCUGCCCGAAAGGGCAGGUAAUACCGCAUGUGAUCGCAAGAUCAAAGUCGCAAGACGCUUUUAGAGGAGCCUACGUCCUAUCAGCUUGUUGGUGGGGUAAUGGCCUACCAAGGCGACGACGGGUAGCCGGUGUGAGAGCAUGGCCGGCCACAAGGUAACUGAGACACGGUGCCUACACCUACGGGUGGCAGCAACUGGGAAUUUUGCGCAAUGGGCGAAAGCCUGACGCAGCGACACCGCGUGUGGGAAUAAGGCCUUAGGGUCGUAAACCACUGUGGCGAGGGAUGAAUUAAUGACAGUACCUCGCUAGAAAGCACCUGCUAACCACGUGCCAGAAGCCUCGGUAAU